AGUACGGGAUGUGCUUCCCCCUGCACAGAGCACUUCAUUGCAAAACAGACAGGUAUUGGAGCCAGCCCACCUGUAAUGAGCUACAAUGUGACUGGACACUCAAGAUUGCUAUGCAAAGGAAAAUGACAAGUGUUAGAAAUGUUUUGGGGGACCUGCAACAAACGUUUGCCCUUCUCUGGAAUAUGAAACCUGAACUAGCUUAUAUGKAAAGCUUUGAAGAGAAAGACAAUGCACUAUCUUAACAAGAAGACUCUGCAUAGAUGUUAUACUGUGCUGUUGGGAAGAUCUUUUUGUAUGUCUUUCCUCAGUCAGUGAAGCCUCACUUUAAAGAAUUGGCUAGUGACCAUGGAAUAAAGGCUGCUGGAAUGGCACUAUUUGGAAUCAUCCUGGAGGAAGAUUAGUCUCCAGAAUGGUCAUCUUGCUUACCAGUGACUGAGAGAGCAAACAGUGGG